rnacentral:rRNA from 1 species
GAUGAACGCUGGCGGCGUGCUUAACACAUGCAAGUCGAACGGAAAGGCUCCUGCUUGCAGGGGUACUCGAGUGGCGAACGGGUGAGUAACACGUGGGUGAUCUGCCCUGCACUUCGGGAUAAGCCUGGGAAACUGGGUCUAAUACCGGAUAGGACGAUGGUUUGGAUGCCAUUGUGGAAAGUUUUUCGGUGUGGGAUGAGCUCGCGGCCUAUCAGCUUGUUGGUGGGGUAAUGGCCUACCAAGGCGUCGACGGGUAGCCGGCCUGAGAGGGUGUACGGCCACAUUGGGACUGAGAUACGGCCCAGACUCCUACGGGAGGCAGCAGUGGGGAAUAUUGCACAAUGGGCGCAAGCCUGAGGCAGCGACGCCGCGUGGGGGAUGACGGCCUUCGGGUUGUAAACUCCUUUCGCUAGGGACGAAGCGCAAGGGACGGGACCUGGAGAAGAAGCACUGGCUAACUACGU